rnacentral:lncRNA from 1 species
AGGUUCUCCCUCACUGGUCCUCUUCAGGCUCCGGAGCAGUAGUCCCGGAUCCCACAAAAUCCUGGGAGAAGGCGGAGGGCGUGAUGCUAGGGCACUGGUGCAGAGCCAUGGUCAGAGAUAGUAUGCAGAACAUUAGAAGUGUUGAAAAUUGCUGACACACAAACCCGAAGGAUGACAAAGUAGGAGUAAAAGCAUCGGAAGCCCAGAGAUCUUUACUCCAGGAGAAGACGCUGUGGGAACCAUCUUCAGUGUUGAGAGAAGUGAAAGGAAGUGAAACCCGGCCUGUCCUUCCUCUUCUGGAAUCAAGGAGGAAA